AGAUGGUGAUGAAGGUUGAAUGACGAAGGUUUUGGGGAAUCUAGUUAGAAUAUGAGGUCUUAGAUCUAUCGUAGGUUUGUAUGGUCGAUUUUGAGGUGUGGGCAAUAGAUAGGCUACACGAGACUUAGGAAAGUUAACAAUGGAGAGAAAAGAUGAAAAUAAGUGAGAUCAAACGAGAGGAAUGAGCGAGACCGAUUUUGAGGAGGAGGAAGAUGAAAGCUAAGUUCAAUCUAAUUUCUCAUUUAGAUAUGUUU
rnacentral:lncRNA from 1 species